rnacentral:lncRNA from 1 species
AUGCACAAGAAAAAGGGAGGAGGAAAGGGAUGUUGCACCUUUCUACUUUGAUGGUGGCACCCAUGGCCAAGAGAAUAGCAAAAAGAGGAAGGGGAUUCAUCGAAGGUGACGUGGCAGCAGGUCGUGGCCGGCUGUAAUCGAUUCUAGUGAAAAAAAGGCCAAUAAUCUUAAAACAAGGGAGGCAUAGCAAUCAGUGAACUUUAAAUAGAAAAAGAGAUUUUGAGCAGUGGCACUCGACCAUGGCAGCAUCACAACCACUGAAAAGGAGGAAGAAGGAUGAAGAAAAGCUCAAUGAUGAUCAAUUGCACAAAAAGAAGAGAAUAAAUAAAAAAAUAUUAAAAUAAGAUCAACUCAAUCGAUGAAGGAUAUUAUCAGUCAUUUGAUGGUUAGGAUGGCUCCGAUAGUCAUGAUGGUUCUGU